GGGACAUGCAAAACUUAUUGCAAAAAGGGUAAUAGAUCUAUUUUGAUGGUGGAAUAUGCUUUGUACGUGCACAUCUGAAUUUAUAAGAUUCAUUUUGACAGACAUAAGCUUGAACUUGAACAUGUUGCAGCCAUACUUUUGCUUGCUUGUGUGUAAAAAGUACUGGACUAGUUAAACUUUUCACAUUUGUAGUAGUGGUCCUAGUGAACCUCAACUAGGUUCUAUGCCUCGCAUUUGUAUCUAUUUCCGUAUUCUUAGUUUUCUGAUUUGUCUCCAGCAAUGAUUUUCCUUUUCUGAUUUUAUACUUUGUGAUUUCUUUUUCUGGAGUUACAAGUUCAUGGAUAAAAUUAUUUAAUGUCAGUGUGGACCCCUUUGCUCGACUGAACUCAACUAAGUAUUAAUCCCAAACUAAUUGGAGUUAGUCAUAUGGAUCCUGUAACUCCAUCUCAUCUGGUUUAGGGUUACACUUCUGGAAAAUUUUAGGCCCACUAAAUCUCUGCACAUUACUUCCUACAUCAACCAAGGUUUGCCUCUUAAUUCAUAUCUUCUAUAAUUUUAAAGUGCACAACAUUCUGUACCAGUGCAUUUACUGGUCUAUGAUGCACAUGUCCAAAUCAUCUUAAUCACCC
rnacentral:misc_RNA from 1 species